GGGGACAUAGCUCAGGGGCAGAGCGCUUGCUUAGCAUCUUCUGAUCAGUUCGGGCGUGUGCAUGAGGUCGAGGGUUCGAUUCCCUCUGUCUCCA